rnacentral:precursor_RNA from 12 species
AGGGCAAAGUCUUAUAUACAGGAUGUCCCAAAAGUCUUAAUGCAGGUUUAAGGUUUUAAAGUUUAAAACCGCACUAAGACUUUUGGAAUACCUUGUAUUUGAAAUGUUAAUAUAA